GAACGAGAAAGGGGAGCAAUCCCUGAGUAAAGUGGCGACCGGNGUGAGUAACACGUGACUAACCUGCCCUUGGGGGGGGGAUAACCUCGGGAAACCGGGGCUAAUACCGCAUAACAUCUUCGGGAUGAAAAGCUGAAGAUCAAAGGAGCAAUUCGCUUAAGGAGGGGGUCGCGGCUGAUUAGCUGGUUGGUGGGGUAACGGCCCACCAAGGCGAAGAUCGGUAGCCGGCCUGAGAGGGCGCACGGCCACACUGGAACUGAAACACGGUCCAGACUCCUACGGGAGGCAGCAGUGGGGAAUUUUGCGCAAUGGGGGAAACCCUGACGCAGCAACGCCGCGUGGAGGAUGAAGUCCCUUGGGACGUAAACUCCUUUCGACCGGGACGAUGAUGACGGUACCGGUGGAAGAAGCCCCGGCUAACUUCGUG
rnacentral:rRNA from 1 species